rnacentral:rRNA from 1 species
GAUGAACGCUGGCGGCGUGCUUAACACAUGCAAGUCGAGCGAUGAAGUUUCCUUCGGGAAAUGGAUUAGCGGCGGACGGGUGAGUAACACGUGGGUAACCUGCCUCAUAGAGUGGAAUAGCCUUUCGAAAGGAAGAUUAAUACCGCAUAAUGUUGAAAGAUGGCAUCAUCAUUCAACCAAAGGAGCAAUCCGCUAUGAGAUGGACCCGCGGCGCAUUAGCUAGUUGGUGGGGUAACGGCCUACCAAGGCGACGAUGCGUAGCCGACCUGAGAGGGGGAUCGGCCACAUUGGGACUGAGACACGGCCCAGACUCCUACGGGAGGCAGCAGUGGGGAAUAUUGCACAAUGGGGGAAACCCUGAUGCAGCAACGCCGCGUGAGUGAUGAAGGUUUUCGGAUCGUAAAGCUCUGUCUUUGGGGAAGAUAAUGACGGUACCCAAGGAGGAAGCCACGGCUAACUACGUGCCAGCAGCCGCCGUAACAC